rnacentral:rRNA from 1 species
AACGGACGCUGGCGGCAUGCCUAACACAUGCAAGUCGAACGAGACCUUCGGGUCUAGUGGCGCACGGGUGCGUAACGCGUGGGAACCUGCCCUUAGGUUCGGAAUAACUCCCCGAAAGGGGUGCUAAUACCGGAUAAUGUCUUCGGACCAAAGAUUUAUCGCCUUUGGAUGGGCCCGCGUUGGAUUAGCUAGUUGGUAGGGUAAAAGCCUACCAAGGCGACGAUCCAUAGCUGGUCUGAGGGGAUGAUCAGCCACACUGGGACUGAGACACGGCCCAGACUCCUACGGGAGGCAGCAGUGGGGAAUAUUGGACAAUGGGCGAAAGCCUGAUCCAGCAAUGCCGCGUGAGUGAUGAAGGCCUUAGGGUUGUAAAGCUCUUUUACCCGGGAUGAUAAUGACAGUACCGGGAGAAUAAGCUCCGGCUAACUCCGUG